rnacentral:lncRNA from 1 species
GUGUAUUGCUAACUGGUUCUCCUUACAAAUGCUUGUUGUGUUUGUUUUGUGUUUUUAAUUUUAUGUUCCACUGCUUGUCUACUUUUUCAUUGUUUUUAAUCCAAACUUCUACUUCAGCCUCUGCUCAUGAAGUCUCCCUCUCCCGAGUCCUUUGGGCUGCAAUAAUCAGACUCAAGCUGAGUGGAGACACACACUGAACAGAUGACAUGCCAGCCAAACUUGCCCCAAAAGUUGGGGAGGGAAAUGGUGCUCAACUGAAGGCAGCUGCUCUUGGGAGAGUCUUGACAGAGACCUCUGCAGCGAUAGUGCCUGGCAUCAGUGAUUGACGGGGAGCCAUCUGAUCAACUUUUGUUUCUGAAGGAAAACCCUGAGGAAACUCACUACCAUCCUCAGUGGCUGGUGGAUGGAUAAAGAGGUGGAAAGCAAGUUGGUAAGACUGCGG